UACGUAGGGUGCGAGCGUUAAUCGGAAUUACUGGGCGCAAAGCGUGCGCAGGCGGCGCGUUAAGUCAGACGUGAAAUCCCCAGGCUCAACUUGGGAACUGCGUCUGAUACUGGAUGGCUUGAAUUCGGGAGAGGGAUGCAGAAUUCCAGGUGUAGCGGUGAAAUGCGUAGAUAUCAGGAGGAACACCGGUGGCGAAGGCGGUUCUCUGGGCAUGUCCUGACGCUGAGGAGCGAAAGUGUGGGGAGCGAACAGG
rnacentral:rRNA from 1 species